rnacentral:lncRNA from 1 species
GAUGUUAGGUCAACCACACAAAUGCGUCGCUUAACUACUGCAAGAGAGGUCCUCAAAAAAGUCAGAGAUGGAGUGGACCUGGACUCUUGAGUCAUAUCCAAGAAAUAGACCUCUAUAGUCUUCAACGUCUCUCAUCCUACCUCUGCCCCGAGGAAAGGAUAUGGAUCUGCAUAAUGUAAUCUGAUUCAAGGUGUACUGCAAGAUCAUAGGCCUACUAAGUGGCCUUUUCAUGUGAUUAUCUUAGCAAAGUUUGAACACCGACAUGAAAUAAGGGUUGCAAAGUAAAGAGCUGUAGCAUCUACAUGAACUGCAAAACUCAUGGCACCUGGACUUUCAUACCUAAGGUCUUAUUCAUCUCUUCAAGUUGAAAAGAUUCUAGACUGCAGAGCCUGAAUUCCCUGCAACAUUAUGCUUCAUCUGGAACAUCAGCCAGCCUACAGAUACAAGCUCCCUUUCCAGCUCUAAGCAAGAGGGACCACAAUGCUAAACAGUUCGUGGACAUGUCGCUUUUUUCAACUACGACUUUCCAUGAAACAGACUUUCAAAUUAAUUCAGCUAAAGCUAUAAAAUAUAUUUCAGUCAGGGUACCAUCGGUUUGCCAUCAGUUUGCCAUGAGUAUGAGAUUAUUGGUUUGAUAAGAAUUUAUCAAGUAAGGUCUAAAGGAACUAAGAUUUCAAUGAAAAAUCCAAGAAUUUUAUUAUUUUAAAUAGAAUGUUAGAAUCUUGCAGAAGAAAGGACAAAAUACUAGCUUUAAUUGAAGGAUAAAACUAAAGUCAUUAUCCAUAUUAAGUUAGCGCUGCUAUUUCAGCCUGC